rnacentral:rRNA from 2 species
UUUAUGGAGAGUUUGAUCCUGGCUCAGGAUGAACGCUGGCGGCGUGCCUAAUACAUGCAAGUCGAGCGAACGGACGAGAAGCUUGCUUCUCUGAUGUUAGCGGCGGACGGGUGAGUAACACGUGGAUAACCUACCUAUAAGACUGGGAUAACUUCGGGAAACCGGAGCUAAUACCGGAUAAUAUUUUGAACCGCAUGGUUCAAAAGUGAAAGACGGUCUUGCUGUCACUUAUAGAUGGAUCCGCGCUGCAUUAGCUAGUUGGUAAGGUAACGGCUUACCAAGGCAACGAUGCAUAGCCGACCUGAGAGGGUGAUCGGCCACACUGGAACUGAGACACGGUCCAGACUCCUACGGGAGGCAGCAGUAGGGAAUCUUCCGCAAUGGGCGAAAGCCUGACGGAGCAACGCCGCGUGAGUGAUGAAGGUCUUCGGAUCGUAAAACUCUGUUAUUAGGGAAGAACAUAUGUGUAAGUAACUGUGCACAUCUUGACGGUACCUAAUCAGAAAGCCACGGCUAACUACGUGCCAGCAGCCGCGGUAAUACGUAGGUGGCAAGCGUUAUCCGGAAUUAUUGGGCGUAAAGCGCGCGUAGGCGGUUUUUUAAGUCUGAUGUGAAAGCCCACGGCUCAACCGUGGAGGGUCAUUGGAAACUGGAAAACUUGAGUGCAGAAGAGGAAAGUGGAAUUCCAUGUGUAGCGGUGAAAUGCGCAGAGAUAUGGAGGAAC